AACGAACGCUGGCGGCAGGCCUAACACAUGCAAGUCGAGCGCCCCGCAAGGGGAGCGGCGGACGGGUGAGUAACGCGUGGGAACGUGCCUCUUGCCUCGGAAUAGCCUCGGGAAACUGGGGGUAAUACCGAAUGUGCCCUACGGGGGAAAGAUUUAUCGGCAAGAGAUCGGCCCGCGUUGGAUUAGGUAGUAGGUGGGGUAAUGGCCUACCAAGCCGACGAUCCAUAGCUGGUUUGAGAGGAUGAUCAGCCACACUGGGACUGAGACACGGCCCAGACUCCUACGGGAGGCAGCAGUGGGGAAUCUUAGGCAAUGGGCGCAAGCCUGAUCUAGCCAUGCCGCGUGAGCGAUGAAGGCCUUAGGGUUGUAAAGCUCUUUCGUGGGGGAAGAUAAUGACUGUACCCCAAGAAGAAGCCCCGGCUAACUCCGUGCCAGCCGCCGCGGUAA
rnacentral:rRNA from 1 species